GAUGAACGCUGGCGGCGUGCUUAACACAUGCAAGUCGAACGGAAAGGCCCAAGCUUGCUUGGGUACUCGAGUGGCGAACGGGUGAGUAACACGUGGGUGAUCUGCCCUGCACUUCGGGAUAAGCCUGGGAAACUGGGUCUAAUACUGGAUAGGACCACUUCUUGGAUGUUGUGGUGGAAAGUUUUUUCGGUGUGGGAUGAGCUCGCGGCCUAUCAGCUUGUUGGUGGGGUAAUGGCCUACCAAGGCGUCGACGGGUAGCCGGCCUGAGAGGGUGUACGGCCACAUUGGGACUGAGAUACGGCUCAGACUCCUACGGGAGGCAGCAGUGGGGAAUAUUGCACAAUGGGCGCAAGCCUGAUGCAGCGACGCCGCGUGGGGGAUGACGGCCUUCGGGUUGUAAACUCCUUUCGCUAGGGACGAAGCGUUUUGUGACGGUACCUGGAGAAGAAGCACCGGCUAACUACGUG
rnacentral:rRNA from 1 species